ensembl:ncRNA lncRNA:CR46488 long non-coding RNA:CR46488
AAAUAAAUAAAAUAUGCAACCUUUAUAUUGAAAAAUUGAUUUCUUUAGGUACUGAAGCUGAAUACUGUAAUGAAUAUUAAUCCAAUACAGUCAUUUAUGAAAUUUAUUAUAUGAUAUUUUGUACAUACCCUGCAGUUCCACAAGUCAUCGGCUCCGCCAGCAAAGCCAACUGUUUCGGCUGCAGAGCCGACGCUCUCCCGACUAUCGAUGAUAUUCCAAAUAAAUUCAUUUCUGUUUUGUUUCUUGUCGACUGCUAACCAGACGCUCUCAGUCGCCGAGCGCAUAGGUGUCGUAAGAAGCGGAACAUGCAAAGACAUUAUAUGUAUCUUGUUUGAAGGGAGGGGGACGAGUAAUAGGGAAAUAACAAUAAUAGCUAGAUUUUUGUGACAAGUAGACGAGAUUUUAAUUGAGUGCCAGUGUUUAUAAAAAUGGUAGUGUUUUCGAAUUUAAUUCAAUAAUCCAGGCAAUUCCAUCAAUGGAUUCAUUUUACAAGCAACAACGCGUCCUACUCCCUGAAGAGAUCAUUUAAGCUUUAAGGUUAAUCGGACAUGUGGACCCCAUAUUCCAACUCAACUAAAAAGAAAGUGGCCCUAACUCCGAAGGACAACAAGACGCAUUUUAUAUUUAUUUGUAAUAUUAUUUAAAUAAUAAACAAAAUUUAAAAAAAAAAUUAUCACUUCAAAAAGGGGUUAGGAUUAAAUGAAUAAACAGCGGUGAAAAAGCGAAGAAUACACCGAUGAUUUACCGUUUUAAAUACGCUUAAAAAGCGGUGAUUAAAAGCGAUGAUUUUGCGCUUUUUCAGCGGUGUUUGUGCGAAUUUUUUCAUAGCGGUGACUGCCAAUGUUUAAAACAUCGCCGAUUUUCAUACAAAGCGCUCUUUAUCGCUCUUAAGCGGUGAUUCAUCGGUGGGCGGAAAUGCAGGGUAGAUUCGGCUAUUACUUUUUCUAUGCUAUAUUCUUUUAUUAUCAUGUAAGGGUAAUGAAAAACCAGAAUUUUUUACAUGGUGCCAAUUGAUUAAAAGUAAAAUACACUUAAAAUCUAAGAACUUGUAAAGUGAAAAUAAAUCAAAUAUACAAUGCAUACAGUUGUCGAGUGUCAAUGUAUGCGUAUAAGAAAGCUGCCACAGGCGGAAGUGUUCCGACUGUCGUUUGCCCGUUACUAGCUAGUGUGAAUGCGAACCAGAAAUUUCAUCAUUUUUCUGGGAUAUCGAUAGAUAUUGAGGAAUAAAUGAGAAAACAAUUCAACAUUUUUUUAAAAGUGUAGAGGUUUUGUUGGUGGGCGUGGCAAUAAGUUAUUACAAUACAAUAUACAAUUUUUCAAAAAUGUGGGCCAGCCAGUCUUGGGCGGCUUCAGACUUUAGACUCACAGGACUAAUAAAAUUAUGAAAAAAUGUUAAACCUGGGUUUAACGCGGCGAUGCAGUUUUGUGCGGUUUUCGGGCGUUUGAGUAUGCUUGAUAAUCAAAACAAGACUAAUGAAAUUAUGAAAACAUCGAAAAGUGGUUCAAAUCUGUGGGCUU